UGCGUCCUUAGCUCAACUGGAUAGAGCAACGGCCUUCUAAACCGUAGGUUGUCGGUUCAAACCCGACAGGACGCAU
rnacentral:tRNA from 1 species